rfam:TPA: Bos taurus chromosome 9, whole genome shotgun sequence.
GUCUCUGUGGUGCCAUGGGUUAGUGAGUUCAGCUGUUAAUUGAAAAGUUGGUGGUUCGAGCCCAUCCAGGAACG